AAUGAACGCUGGCGGCAGGCCUAACACAUGCAAGUCGAACGCACCUUUCGGGGUGAGUGGCGGACGGGUGAGUAACGCGUGGGAACGUGCCCUUUGCUACGGAAUAGUCCCGGGAAACUGGGGGUAAUACCGUAUGUGCCCUUCGGGGAAAGAUUUAUCGGCAAAGGAUCGGCCCGCGUUGGAUUAGGUAGUUGGUGGGGUAAUGGCCUACCAAGCCGACGAUCCAUAGCUGGUUUGAGAGGAUGAUCAGCCACACUGGGACUGAGACACGGCCCAGACUCCUACGGGAGGCAGCAGUGGGGAAUCUUAGACAAUGGGGGAAACCCUGAUCUAGCCAUGCCGCGUGAUCGAUGAAGGCCUUAGGGUUGUAAAGAUCUUUCAGAUGGGAAGAUAAUGACGGUACCAUCAGAAGAAGCCCCGGCUAACUCCGUGCCAGCAGCCGCGGU
rnacentral:rRNA from 1 species